GAUCAUGGCUCAGGAUGAACGCUAGCGGCAGGCUAACACAUGCAAGUCGAGGGGCAGCGGGAUGUAGCAAUACAUGCCGGCGACCGGCGGAUGGGUGCGUAACGCGUAUGCAACCUACCUUAUACAGGGGAAUAACCUUUCGAAAGGGAGACUAACACCCCAUAGUAUUGAUUUAAGGCAUCUUAGAUUAAUUAAAUAUUUAUAGGUAUAAGAUGGGCAUGCGUAUGAUUAGCUAGUUGGUAAGGUAACGGCUUACCAAGGCGACGAUCAUUAGGGGUUCUGAGAGGAAGGUCCCCCACACUGGUACUGAGACACGGACCAGACUCCUACGGGAGGCAGCAGUGAGGAAUAUUGGUCAAUGGGCGCAAGCCUGAACCAGCCAUGCCGCGUGCAGGAAGACGGCCUUAUGGGUUGUAAACUGCUUUUACAUAAGACUAACCGUAUAUUUGCGAAUAUACCUGAAUGUAUUAUGAGAAUAAGGAUCGGCUAACUCCGUGCCAGCCGCUGC
rnacentral:rRNA from 1 species